rnacentral:lncRNA from 1 species
GGAAGUGAAGUAGAGAACAGCCUCUGGAGUUCUCAGGACUUCCUGUGAGGAGGGCUAGAGUUAGUUCGAGGCUUGUACUUGGAGUUGGAGGAGCCCUGUGGACUGCUUUCCUUCAGAUGGGUCAUAACACCAUGAUGUCUAAGAGUGGAAAGAAGAGAGUCUGCAGUUUAUUGAGCAGGGAGGCAAUGGCACAGAACCAUCCAUUAUGGUACAACUGCAUCAGAGAAGGAUCUGUGAUCUAUGAACAAAGCAGAAUUCCAUUUGUUCAAAAGAAAUGUGAAAGAUUAUGGCCAGGUUUGAAGGAGGACAUUGAUCUUACUUUUGGGGAGUACGGUAUCUUCCUGUAGUUUUGGCUGCAAAUGGGAUAAUGGAACCAGAGCAAAUGAUGUCAUAUGCUUGAUAUAGAGUUUGGUACAAGGAAGUCCUACAUUUAACACAAGUUAAAUAGCUGCAACCUUGAGUCUCACACAUGAUCAAGUCACUGUGCUUUUUGUGCAGAAUGUCAUCAAUCCCCGUAGGAUUGGUUUGUUUUUUUUUCACCUUUUUGUGCUUGUUUGGCACUUUGCAAGUCAAGUUUUGUGCUCCUUUGUGGUCCAUUUGUCCUUGGAUUAGACAUAGUCAUUGAGAAAAAGUCUCAUAAUAGUUAAAUAACUACUGGUAGGUUGCCAUAAUCCAAAGCUUUUUGGGUAUGUGUUUUAUAUUCUAGGUAAAUAGAUAUCUGAGGUUAUGUUAUUGUCAAAAGUAAAAAUAGUUAAAUAAAAACAUUUUCAAUACUAGUGAUGUGUUUCA